rnacentral:misc_RNA from 1 species
AUACAAUUCAGUUUGUUGUUUAAACAGAUGUUGGAAAGCAUGGAAUUUGCGCAGAUCUAUGAAUUCUUAGACUUUCCAUUUUCCAAAUAUACAAUUAUCUAAACCGAAAGAUUGAUUGGCUUUCCAGAGUUGGAGUAUAAAUUGAAGACUCUGAUCUUCUCAAUUAGAGAAUGUAACAUUGAUUGAACAUGUAGCACCAUAAGACAUUGCUACGCAUGAGAUAACAACAUUCUCGUUG